rnacentral:rRNA from 1 species
UACGUAGGGGGCAAGCGUUGUCCGGAUUUAUUGGGCGUAAAGAGCGUGUAGGCGGCCUGAAAGGUCAGCUGUGAAAACUCGAGGCUCAACCUCGAGACGUCGGUUGAAACCAUCUGGCUAGAGUCCGGAAGAGGAGUGUGGAAUUCCCGGUGGAGCGGUGAAAUGCGUAGAUAUCGUUUGGAACGCCAAUGGUGAAAACAGACUGCUGGGGUUGUGCUGACGCUGAGACACGAAAGCCAGGGGAGCGAACGGG